AGAGUUGAUCAUGGCUCAGAACGAACGCUGGUGGCGUGUCUUAUACAUGCAAGUCGAGCGGUGCAGCAAUGCAUAGCGGCGAACGGGUGAGUAACGCGUAAGCAAUCUGCCCCCUGUUCGGGAAUAGCCGUGCCAACGCGCGGGUAAUACCGGAUAUUGUGGCCCUGGACAUCCGGGGUUGACAAAAGAUUUAUCGACAGGGGAUGAGCUUGCGUCCGAUUAGCUAGUGGCGGGGCAACGGCCCACCAAGGCGACGAUCGGUAGCCGGCCUGAGAGGGUGAUCGGCCACAUUGGGACUGAGAUACGGCCCAGACUCCUACGGGAGGCAGCAGUAGGGAAUAUUGCACAAUGGGGGAAACCCUGAUGCAGCAACGCCACGUGUUGGGAAGAAGCAUUUCGGUGUGUAAACCACUGUCGUGAGGGAAUAAGGCUGAGUUUCGGCUCAGUUGAAUGUACCUCGAGAGGAAGCACCGGCAAACUUCGUGCCAGCCGCCGC
rnacentral:rRNA from 1 species